rnacentral:rRNA from 1 species
GGGAACUCGGCAAAUUGACACCGUAACUUCGGAAGAAGGUGUGCCCUACUAGUGUGAAGCGAACAGCGGAGCAUGAAAGGGUUGCAAAGAAUCGGUGGCUGCGACUGUUUAUUAAAAACACAGCACUCUGCAAACACGAAAGUGGACGUAUAGGGUGUGACGCCUGCCCGGUGCUGGAAGAUUAAAUGAUGGGGUGCAAGCUCUUGAUUGAAGUCCCAGUAAACGGCGGCCGUAACAAUAACGGUCCUAAGGUAGCGAAAUUCCUUGUCGGGUAAGUUCCGACCUGCACGAAUGGCGUCACGAUGGCCACACUGUCUCCUCCCGAGACUCAGCGAAGUUGAAAUGUUUGUGAUGAUGCAAUCUCCCCGCGGAAAGACGGAAAGACCCCAUGAACCUUUACUGUAGCUUUGUAUUGGACUUUGAACAGAUCUGUGUAGGAUAGGUGGGAGGCUUUGAAGCAGGGUCGCUAGAUCUUGUGGAGCCAACGUUGAAAUACCACCCUGGUGUGUUUGAGGUUCUAACCUAGGUCCAUUAUCUGGAUCGGGGACCGUGCAUGGUAGGCAGUUUGACUGGGGCGGUCUCCUCCCAAAGCGUAACGGAGGAGUUCGAAGGUACGCUAGUUACGGUCGGACAUCGUGACGAUAGUGCAAUGGCAUAAGCGUGCUUAACUGCGAGACUGACAAGUCGAGCAGAUGCGAAAGCAGGACAUAGUGAUCCGGUAGUUCUGUAUGGAAGGGCCAUCGCUCAACGGAUAAAAGGUACUCUGGGGAUAACAGGCUGAUACCGCCCAAGAGUUCAUAUCGACGGCGGUGUUUGGCACCUCGAUGUCGGCUCAUCUCAUCCUGGGGCUGUAGCCGGUCCCAAGGGUAUGGCUGUUCGCCAUUUAAAGAGGUACGUGAGCUGGGUUUAAAACGUCGUGAGACAGUUUGGUCCCUAUCUUCCGUGGGCGCUGCAGAUUUGAGGAAGCCUGCUCCUAGUACGAGAGGACCGGAGUGGACACACCUCUGGUGUAUCGGUUGUCACGCCAGUGGCAUUGCCGAGUAGCUAUGUGUGGAAGAGAUAAACGCUGAAAGCAUCUAAGCGUGAAACUCGUUUCAAGAUGAGAUCUGCCGGGGCCUUGAGCCCCCUGAAGAGUCGUUCGAGACUAGGACGUUGAUAGGCAGGGUGUGGAAGCGCAGUAAUGCGUUAAGCUAACCUGUACUAAUUGCUCGUGUGGCUUGACCCU